rnacentral:rRNA from 1 species
GGACUCUAUUGAGGCCCCGUAAUCGGAAUGAGUACACUUUAAAUCCUUUAACAAGGAUCCAUUGGAGGGCAAGUCUGGUGCCAGCAGCCGCGGUAAUUCCAGCUCCAAUAGCGUAUAUUAAAGUUGUUGCGGUUAAAAAGCUCGUAGUUGGUUCUGCGUGCCGCGCUGUCGGUUCGCCGCCUGUCGGUGUAACUGGCAUGUCGCGGCAUGUCCUGUCGGUGGUGAACGGUAUUCCCGGUUCAGCGUAGGCUUAUAGCCGAAGUUUGUACCGUGGUAAGUCCGUUUGCCGAUCUCUCCUACUUCGGUGCUCUUAAACGAGUGUCGAGGUAGGCCGACACGUUCACUUUGAACAAAUUAGAGUGCUUAAAGCAGGCUAAAAUAUCUGCCUGAAUAGUGGUGCAUGGAAUGAUAAAAUAGGACCUCGGUUCUAUUUUGUUGGUUUUAGGAAUGUGAGGUAAUGAUCAAUGUGGACUGGCGGGGGCAUUCGUAUUGCGACGUUAGAGGUGAAAUUCUUGGAUCGUCGCAAGACGCACUAAAGCGAAAGCAUUUGCCAAGUAUGUCUUAAUUGAUCAAGAACGAAAGUUAGAGGUUCGAAGGCGAUCAGAUACCGCCCUAGUUCUAACCAUAAACGAUGCCAGCCAGCGAUCCGCCGAUGUUCCAUUAAUGACUCGGCGGGGAGCUUCCACCCGGGAAACCAAAGCUUUUGGGUUCCGGGGGAAGUAUGGUUGCAAAGCUGAAACUUAAAGGAAUUGACGGAAGG